AGAGUUUGAUCCUGGCUCAGGACGAACGCUGGCGGCGUGCCUAAUACAUGCAGGUCGAGCGAGCAGAACCAGCAGAUUUACUUCGGUAAUGACGUUAGGAAAGCGAGCGGCGGAUGGGUGAGUAACACGUGGGGAACCUGCCCCAUAGUCUGGGAUACCACUUGGAAACAGGUGCUAAUACCG
rnacentral:rRNA from 1 species